UACAUGGGGUGCAAACGUUGCUCGGAAUCAUUGGGCGUAAAGCGCACGUAGGCGGUUCGUUAUGUCGGAUGUGAAAGCCCUUGGCUUAACCGAGGAAGUGCAUCCGAAACUGGCGAGCUAGAGUACUAAAGAGGAUCGCGGAAUUCCCGGUGUAGAGGUGAAAUUCGUAGAUAUCGGGAGGAACACCGGUGGCGAAGGCGGCGAUCUGGGCCGUUACUGACGCUGAGGAGCGAAAGCGUGGGGAGCGAACAGG
rnacentral:rRNA from 1 species